rnacentral:rRNA from 1 species
UACGGGAGGCAGCAGUGGGGAAUAUUGCACAAUGGGCGCAAGCCUGAUGCAGCCAUGCCGCGUGUAUGAAGAAGGCCUUCGGGUUGUAAAGUACUUUCAGUCGUGAGGAAGGUGUUAAGGUUAAUAACCUUAGCAAUUGACGUUAGCGACAGAAGAAGCACCGGCUAACUCCGUGCCAGCAGCCGCGGUAAUACGGAGGGUGCGAGCGUUAAUCGGAAUUACUGGGCGUAAAGGGCACGCAGGCGGUUAAUUAAGUUGGAUGUGAAAUCCCCGGGCUUAACCUGGGAAUGGCAUUCAAGACUGGUUAGCUAGAGUCUUGUAGAGGGGGUAGAAUUCCAUGUGUAGCGGUGAAAUGCGUAGAGAUGUGGAGGAAUACCGGUGGCGAAGGCGGCCCCUGGACAAAGACUGACGCUCAUGUGCGAAAAGCGUGGGGAGCAAAACGAGGGAUUAGAUACC